GGGGAUGAUUAUAUUAUAGACAUGCAAAGGCAUUCCUCAAGCAGAAGAUCCAUGUUGAAUCUGUCAUUCUUUUAAGUUUCAGCCUUGUCUGACC
rfam:Penicillium chrysogenum Wisconsin 54-1255 complete genome, contig Pc00c16